GAUGAACGCUGGCGGCGUGCCUAAUACAUGCAAGUCGAGCGAAUGGAUUAAGAGCUUGCUCUUAUGAAGUUAGCGGCGGACGGGUGAGUAACACGUGGGUAACCUGCCCAUAAGACUGGGAUAACUCCGGGAAACCGGGGCUAAUACCGGAUAACAUUUUGAACCGCAUGGUUCGAAAUUGAAAGGCGGCUUCGGCUGUCACUUAUGGAUGGACCUGCGUCGCAUUAGCUAGUUGGUGAGGUAACGGCUCAACAAGGCAACGAUGCGUAGCCGACCUGAGAGGGUGAUCGGCCACACUGGGACUGAGACACGGCCCAGACUCCUACGGGAGGCAGCAGUAGGGAAUCUUCCGCAAUGGACGAAAGUCUGACGGAGCAACGCCGCGUGAGUAAUGAAGGCUUUCGGGUCGUAAAACUCUGUUGUUAGGGAAGAACAAGUGCUAGUUGAAUAAGCUGGCACCUUGACGGUACCUAACCAGAAAGCCACGGCUAACUACGUGCCAGCAGCCGCCGUAA
rnacentral:rRNA from 1 species